UCCCUCAUAGCUCAGUUGGUAAAGAAUCUGCCUGCAAUGCAGAAGACCCCAGUUUGAUUCCUGGGUUGGGAA
rnacentral:tRNA from 1 species